AGACGACGUAGAUAGAUAAGCAGACAAACGAAAUUCAAACGAUUGUAGGCCUAGUUUAUCUAGAAGAAUUUUUCUCUACAGGGAAACAUUUGCACCAUUAUUUUAAGGUGUGGUGGAUGGUUGGAGGAGAUAUGACAUCGACCCUGGAAAGUUCUCUAGUUUCUUGAUGAGGACUUGUAAUUGUCUAGAGUCCAUAGGGCGUUUCAGCACCACAGAACCUGCUUGUCUACUCUUGUGUAUCCUACUACGAGCCUUUAGAGAACAAGCAGCCCUGAUAUUGGGUGUGGUGUUGGUGGUUGGAGGAGAUACGGCAUCGACCCUGGAGAGUUCUCUAGUUUCCUGAUGAGGACUUGUGGAUCGUCUUGUGUCCAGCACCACAGAACCUGCUAGUCUACUCUUGUGUAUCCUACUACGAGCUGUUAGAGAACAAGCUGCCCAUAUUUGAUGUGGCAAUUGGUGUUGGUGGUUGGAGGAGAUACAACAUCGACCCCGGAGAGUUCUCUUAGUUUCCUGAUGAGGACGUGUGAUCGCCUUGUGUCCAUGGGGCGUUUCAGCAUCACUGAACCUGCUAGUCUACUCGCGCGCAGCUACUACAAGCUGUUAGAGAACUAGCAGCCCGUAUUGGGUGUGGCGGACGGUGUUGUUGGUUGGAGGAGAUACAGCAUCGACCCUGGAAAGUCUCUAGUCUCCUGAUGAGGACAUGUAAAUGCCUUGCGUCCACGGGGUAUUUCAGCACCACUGCACCUGCUAGUCUACUAGCGCGCAGCAACUACGAGCUGUUAGAGAAUAAGCAGCCCAUAACUUCUUGGGCAUAGGCUUGCCAAACUGGAGCCUUUCUUGGGUUUCCUGGCAGCUAGGAGCCUAUCUCGAGGAUGGCGAUAUCACAUGCCUGUGCAGUGCACUGACACCAGCUCCCUAGGAGCCUCAGGCUGGAUUCUAACCCGCAAACUCAGAGUAACCAGGCCAGAGGAAGUAGACACAUGAAAUUACCCAGUGGAAGAUGGAGAUGUUAUUCUGGUCGCCACAGACGGAGUAUUUGACAACUUUCCUGACCAGUAACUUUGACAACGGCAAGUGCAAGAAGAAUAUGUUUGACAGUUGAUGAGAAAAGGAUUUGAAAAUAGGAUUCUAACCCCGAAACUAGACAUCCACGACAAAUCGGGAUUGAUUGAGGACAGGGAAAGCGAGACCCAGUCAAGAUACAGAAGGUGGCCAACUUCAUCGCGUGGAUGGCUCGCAACUUUAGCGUUUGAAGACAAGUCUCUCAUCAUUAUAUCAAGUCUGCAAUGGCCAAUGGAAUCCACACCAUAGAAAAUUCAUUACAACAUAAGGAUGGGAACAAUCAUGAUGUGCCAAAUAAACAACUUCAAUGAAGAGGUGAAGAGGGAAAAGCAUCAGCGGCGCAACCUUGGAUUGGGUCUACCUUACAGCAAUGUGUAGACCAUUCCUGGCCUGGAGUAAAACAAGAUCACCGCUGGAGUAACCUGAAAACCAGAUCAAGUAUAAAGCGAUGCUGUUCCGGUUACCAGAGAAAUGUUAUAUAACUACACAUAUGGAGAGGGAGUGAGAGAUAGUGUCUGCUCUGGUCAGAACUCCGUGAGACACUGAAACUUUUAGGGGUGGGCGAGUACUCGAAUUUCGAGUAAUUACUCGACUUUUUCCGAAUACUCGAUCUCGAGUCGAGUAUUAAUCAAUACCCGAGAAUUCGAGUCGAGUAGUUUUAAAAAGUGUUAUUUUUUAUUUUCUUCCACUGAAUUUAAUAAAAGAUAUUUGUUUUGUGUUUAUGUUUUAUUUAAACCCCAUUCCCAAAAGAAAAACAACUAUUUAAUUAAAUACAGGAUAGUCCAGCGUAAUAUGUUCAACAAACAACCGUCCAUCCAUGUCGUCAUUCGGCAGAGCUAGCAAGAAGUGGACUGCUUCACUCAUCACUGCUCACUUCUUUCCCCACAAUACGUCUCGAUAACGAUAUGGGGAUACGGUAAGUUAAAUAAAAUAAGUUAUUGAAAGAAUAUAUCGAGUAAUAGUAGUCGAUCGAUAUUCAACAAUGGAGUCUAGUGAUAAGCAAA